AGUAUUUAUAUGUUGCCCCUCGUGAUUCUUCCGGCGUCAGUAUACAGAAACCAACCUGCAGUGAAGCCUAGCAGGCAAAGAUUUUGGUGGAGUUUGAUGGCUGAUCUAGAUUGGUGGGGAGUUGAUGGAUGCACACAGAGUGCUGCUGAAGUUGGUCCUGUGUUCAGAAUUUUCUACGAUACAUGUAAAGUCGCGAGCAAGUGCAAAACUAUCUUGGCAAGGUGUAGGCAACACAACGGUUGACACUUGAAUGGAACGGGCAGCUCUGCGGUGGGUUUGUCAAUUCUUCACUUAGUGUACAUGCAUGCAGAAGCCACAGCCGUCAUAACAACACAAGAAAGCUUCUCAAAGGUUUGUUGCCUCUGAUUGCUUCAUAUGUUGAGUGUUAUUAGGUGAGAUGAUUUAGGAGUGUGGCUAAUCAAAAUGUUUAUCAUGUGCAUCGACUUCUCACAUAUACUAUAAAUGUGGAGGAAUAGCAGGCAACCGCUAACUGCUAAAGAUGUCUUCCAAUAUGAAGGCUGCACUUGCACUGCCAGCUGUUGUUGAUUUAUUUAUUCAGGGAUCUUGGAGAUAUGUCUUACCACUGUAGUAUUCCUCAAAAACGGAUGUGCAAUCUUAGACCUAUAUUAGAUUCUAUACAUUCAAAUGAAUGUUAUCUUUAUGUUCCAUUAUAUUUUGUCCUCAUGGAUUAUUGCAUAUUUGGGAGCAUCAACUGUAAAUCCUUAGGCUGAACUAGGUAUACGGUAAAAUCUUCCAAUGUUCAGUAAUGCUUUUGCUAGAUGAGCAAAGAUUUUUUGGUCAGACCCCGCCAUCGUCGAGCUCAAUCUUGAAAACAUGUCAAACUAUGCUUAAUGAUGGCCAAUUUAUGAUACAUUGUUACUUUUCAGCUAAUCUUUUAUGAGCUGACGUAUUUUCUUUCCUACAUUGUAUGCUAAAUUCAUACCAUUUGUUCAGUAUUACCAUCUAACCCUUGACCUUACUUACAAGUACCAAGGGCAUAUCUAUAUCUACAGGCAGCUACAUAAUCGGCAGGUAAUCGACAAUGCCCAGUUAUCCACUAAACAUUGUAGACCUCUAAAUGCCCACUAAACUCUGUAAAUGUUCUAAGGCUGUCAUCUGGAAUCGUGAUCCAAACAAGAAAGAUGACUAGACUUGCGAUAGCCAAUUUGUUGAGCUGAGGCAAGACGUGUAUGCAUGUGUGUACUUCUGUGAAUGAAUUACUACCUGGCUUUUCAAAUUGAGGAAAGAUACUGUUGUCUUUCCUUCAAAAAAUAAAAUUAUAGUUUCUCUGUAAGACGAAUUUUACAAUGAAAUGAAACACCCUAUAUUGCUCUAAGUGAUAAUGUCUGUGAGGGAUCAUGAUCAUCUUAGAUCAAUAUUUUUGUAGCUGUUAACUGAGUAGUGAUCAUGUGUGUUUCAUCCAUGUCUGCUUUACUAGCUAUUGUAUCUUUACUUCUUUAGUGUAGCUAUAAUACAGUAUACAUUUGCUAUGAUGUCACAAAAUGUGCUGUAUUACAUGCUGAAGGUGGCAAGGUAGCAUCGAAAACUGCAACUAUGUUGGAAAGAAAUUAUGUGCACAUAUUAGUAUAACUAAUUUACUGUACAUCUUUUCUUCACGAGGCUGUAGUGUCUAGCUAGAGUGGUGGUCAUUCAGAGUUCAACCUUUCUCCAAAAUAUGCCCUAUUCAGCCUGGAAUGAAAACAUGUUAAGAAGGCAGGUAUGGGUGGCGGGAUGCAGGAAGACGGGCUCAACUGGCAUGCAGGUGAGUUCCUGGUGCCAGCUUACAGUAAGUUAUGACUACACGGUGUGCCUAAAAUCCAAUUGCAUCGAUCUCCCACAAAUGUCUUCCAAGUGCAGUAGUAGUUAAUCUAUGAUCUAUCAUCGAAGGUAUGUGCUAAUAUGCACUCAAUUUACCUUAUGUGUUGCUAAUUGUUUUUACCCAACUCUUGGCAAAUGGUGUAGUUGUAGAUACAUGAGACUAUGUUCACUCAUAAACUAAUUAUAUGUAAAAUUCCAUUACCUGUGGGCUGUUUUAGUUCAGAUGCUGCAUUGUAAUCUAGAACUAUGAGGCGGCAAUCCCAGCUUUAAUUUGGUUUGUGUCCUAAAAAAAGAAAGGCAUUGUGUACGUGUAACCGGUGUAUAACUUUUCUAAUAUUCACUCAAUUUAACUUGAUUUUUAUCCUCCAAAUUUUAUCUCUUUUAUUGCAGGAAGUUCACCAAAAGUAGCUUUAUUAAGAAAGCGAAAGUUCAUACAAGAAAAAAGGAAAUAAGGAAAGCAGGUGACAGUUGCGUUACAAUGAGGCUUUGCGGUGUUCGAUUUAUGACUAUGUGGUUAAGCCUCCUCCUUCUUCCCUUGUUGGGCUCAUGUUCAUGCUACACCGGUUUGCUCCUUAAGAGAUGCAUAGACAGAUCGCCAACCAUCAAGACAUAUUCCUGCGACCCGCCUUCGUAUUUGGUGGAUAUUUGUAUCGGUAUGGAUUAAAAUAUUAUCCACUUGGUACUACAGGUUUAUUAUAAAUAAACAUCAUUCAAUGCCUAUCUGAUGAAUGCAAAAAUUUGUAUCUGAGUUAUUUUCAUGUUUAAUCAUUAAAAAUCUUGGAGCAUCUUGAAGAUAACAAUAUGUAGUGCAAUUACAAAUGUAACUGGACUUUCUACGCUACACAAAGGUGUUUGUUGUUUGCAGUUGCUAAAUCUAUCAGGAAAGCAUUUCGUGUGUCCUUGGGCACAAGCAGAGGUGGCGCACAAUUGAGACACGGUAACAUUGACGGUGUCCAUAGGGCAUGGGGAGGCGUAGUACAAAGAUCAGGAGCCUUAGUUCUGCUUUGAAACUCUUAGUUCAUUUGGUUGAGUCUUUCAAGAAGAACCUAAAGGUAGUUGUAACCAAUCAUUAUGUGAGUUAGAUACUCUUCGGUGCCAGGCACCAGUACUUGUAUAGCUCUCAUCUUAUGAUACAUCCAUUUUUGGUAAUAAUUUUGAACCGGAGGGAGUACUA